rnacentral:rRNA from 1 species
UAGGGAAUCUUCGGCAAUGGGGGGAACCCUGACCGAGCAACGCCGCGUGAGUGAAGAAGGUUUUCGGAUCGUAAAGCUCUGUUGUUAAGGAAGAACGAGUGUGAGAAUGGAAAGUUCAUGCUGUGACGGUACUUAACCAGAAAGGGACGGCUAACUACGUGCCAGCAGCCGCGGUAAUACGUAGGUCCCGAGCGUUGUCCGGAUUUAUUGGGCGUAAAGCGAGCGCAGGCGGUUAGAAAAGUCUGAAGUGAAAGGCAGUGGCUCAACCAUUGUAGGCUUUGGAAACUGUUUAACUUGAGUGCAGAAGGGGAGAGUGGAAUUCCAUGUGUAGCGGUGAAAUGCGUAGAUAUAUGGAGGAAUACCGGUGGCGAAGGCGACUUUCUGGACUUUUACUGACGCUCAGGUACGAAAGCGUGGGGAGCAAACAGG